UACGGAGGGGGCGAGCGUUAUUCGGAAUUAUUGGGCGUAAAGGGCGCGUAGGCGGCCCGGUAAGUCAAAGGUGAAAUCCCUCGGCUCAACUGAGGAACUGCCUUUGAAACUGUCGGGCUUGAGGCCGGGAGGGGGUAGCGGAAUUCCCAGUGUAGCGGCGAAAUGCGUAGAUAUUGGGAGGAACACCAGUGGCGAAGGCGGCUACCUGGACCGGUUCUGACGCUGAUGCGCGAAAGCGUGGGUAGCAAACAGG
rnacentral:rRNA from 1 species